UGGUGAAACAUAUCUAUCAGAACCAAUUAAAUGAGGUGGAAGUAAAGCAAGGGGAUCAAGAAGGUGGAUUUUCUAGUGUACUUCUUCGAGUAUAUGAGCCUCACAAUGAGCUUGUUAACUGUAAUUAUUGCAGGACUUCACUAGUGGAUUUUCACAGAAGUUGCUCAAAUUGCUCUUACAAACUUUGCUUAGAUUGUUGC